CAGCAGCCGCGGUAAUUCCAGCUCCAUUAGCGUAUAUUAAAGUUGUUGCAGUUAAAAAGCUCGUAGUUGGAUUUCAGUACGGGCCAGUUGGUCGGCCGCAAGGCCUGUUACUGACUGGUCUGUUCUUCUUCUCAAAGACUGCAUGUGCUCUUCGCUGAGUGGGUGUAGGAUUUGGGACGUUUACUUUGAAAAAAUUAGAGUGUUCAAGGCAGGCGUGUUUAGCUUGAAUACAUGAGCAUGGAAUAAUGGAAUAGGACCUCGGUCCCUAUUUCGUUGGUUUUAUGGACCGAAGUAAUGAUUAAGAGGGACAGUUGGGGGCAUCCGUAUUUCGUAGUCAGAGGUGAAAUUCUUGGAUCUGCGAAAGACGAACAACUGCGAAAGCAUUUGCCAAGAGUGUUUUCAUUAAUCAAGAACGAAAGUUAGAGGAUCGAAGACGAUCAGAUACCGUCCUAGUUCUAACCGUAAACGAUGCCGACUAGGGAUCAGCGGGUGUUAUUGUACGACUCCGUUGGCACCUCACGGGAAACCAAAGUGUUUGGGUUCCGGGGGAAGUAUAGUCGCAAGGCCGAAACUUAAAGGAAUUGACGGAAGGGCACCACCAGGAGUGGAGCCUGCGGCUUAAUUUGACUCAACACGGG
rnacentral:rRNA from 1 species